rnacentral:rRNA from 1 species
UACGAGGGGGGCAAGCGUUGUUCGGAUUUAUUGGGCGUAAAGGGUGCGUAGGCGGUCUGGCAAGUCUUGUGUGAAAUCUUUGGGCUCAACCCAAAGCCUGCACGAGAAACUGCCGGGCUUGAGUAUGGGAGAGGUGAGUGGAAUUUCCGGUGUAGCGGUGAAAUGCGUAGAGAUCCGGAGGAACACCAGUGGCGAAGGCGGCUCGCUGGGCUCUACCUGACGCUGAGGCGCGAAAGCGUGGGGAGCGAACCGG